rnacentral:rRNA from 1 species
UACGUAGGGGGCAAGCGUUUAUCCGGAAUCAUUGGGCGUAAAGCGCGUGUAGGCGGUUCCGUAAGUCCGCUCUGAAAGCCCAGGGCUCAACCCUGGGAGGCGGGUGGAUACUACGGAACUGGAGUACGGAAGAGGAGAUUGGAAUUCCUGGUGUAGCGGUGAAAUGCGCAGAUAUCAGGAGGAACACCAACAGCGAAGGCAGAUCUCUGGGACGUUACUGACGCUGAGACGCGAAAGCGUGGGGAGCGAACAGG